GUUAAAUACCACACAAAUUCUGUUUACAAAUCCACAUAAUAAAAACUAUUGUAUGAAAAUGUCUGUAUCACACACCAUUGAUUUUUCUGCAGGCCUUGAGUUUGUAUGUGUGAAACAAUACUGCUGCCUGGGGUCAUGAGGAAAUAAGACAGACUAUUUUGAGGUUGAAAAAAACAAGGAUGAUAUGCUGCCCUAUACAAAGUUAUUUUACUUCCCCUGUUUGGCCUGUACGAAAGCCUGUUGGGACUUAAAAAAUAUAGACUGCCAAAAACUGGACAAAAUAACUCUUGCAUUUCAUACAGCGAUACCCAGUAUUGCUGACUCAAUUGACUGGCUCACCCUGACAUUGAAUCAAUACCACUAUGUAAUGGACCUGGCCAAAUGCCCUCUCCAUCGCUAUCAUACCUGAGAGUCAAGACCAGUUUACCUUCACCUGGGAAGACAAACAUUAGAAUUUUCAAAUGUUGCUACAAGAGUAUUACAUAGCCCUACUUUGUGCCUUGGCCUGGUAGCCCAAGAUCUGGCCACAUGGACCAAGCCACACUCUGUAUCUUUGUUCCAUUAUAUUGAUGAUAUAUUAACUUCUGAUUGCCUUACAGAUUUGGAAGCUGCUGGACACAGUCUAAAAAAAGCUUUGCUGGCCUGGAAGUGGGGCAUCAACAAAGAUAAGGUCCAGGGCCCUGGCUUAUCUGUCAAAUUCUUGGGUGUUAUCUAGUCAGGAUGAACAUGUGUUCUGCAUCCUCCCCAAAGGAUGAGACCUCCCUAUGAUGGAUUCUUUUUGCUCUGUCCUUCCAACCAUGCCAGGUCAAGUAUGGAUUACACUUUCUUCUUAAGCAAGCUGGAAACUUCUGGUGGACGGACAAAGUGAACGAUUUAUUUUUGAUGCCUAGUAAAGGGCUAUCCUUGUGUAACAGGUGCUGAGACUGUGGAAAGGUAACUGAUGUCUCUGGCCAACCAUCAGCAAACCCCUAAGGCAGUGGUAGUGAACCUUUGGGACAUGCCACAGCAGUUUGUUAUCACUGAAAGCUCUAAAAAGUUCUCAUCACUGCCCUAAGGCCUACCAGCAGCUAUGUAGGUGAGCUUGGAUGUGUCUUCUUAGGCCUGCCAAUAGGCACAUUGAUGACAGUUGAUCCUAGAUUGCAGACUUCAGACUCACAGGCACUCUUAUAAAUCAUACCCUGUCCCACAGAAACUUUGAGAUAAUGCUUGUUUAUUGUUCCAGCCUACUAAAUCUUGGGGUAAUUUGUUACAGUACAAUAGAAAA